rnacentral:rRNA from 1 species
GACGAACGCUGGCGGCGUGCUUAACACAUGCAAGUCGAACGAAGUGGCGAACGGGUGCGUACUACGUGGGUAACCUGCCCUCCUUUUUGGGUUAAGCCUUGGAAACGGUUUCUAAUACCGAAUAAAGGGGGAUGGGCUCGCGGCCUAUCGGCGUGGUGGUGGGGUGCUGGCUUACCAAGGCGGGGACGGGUAGCCGGCCUGAGAGGGUGAACGGCGACAGAGGGACGGAGAAAAGGCCCAGACGAGGAAGGGGGGGAGAAGGUGGGGAUAUGGAAGAAGGGGCGAAGGCCCGAUGCAGCGACGGCGAGGGGGGGAUGAAGGCUGUAGGGUUGUAAAGUUAGAGAGCAAUCGAACGGGUAGGUGGAGAAGAAGCGCCGGCUAACUACGUGCCAGCAGCCGCGGUAAUAC